rnacentral:rRNA from 1 species
GACGUAGGGCGCGAGCGUUGUCCGGAUUUAUUGGGCGUAAAGAGCUCGUAGGCGGCUUGUUGCGUCGACUGUGAAAACCCGCGGCUUAACUGCGGGCUUGCAGUUGAUACGGGCAGGCUAGAGUUCGGUAGGGGAGACUGGAAUUCCUGGUGUAGCGGUGAAAUGCGCAGAUAUCAGGAGGAACACCGGUGGCGAAGGCGACGUGCUGGGUUGCACCUGACGCUGAGAUGCGAAAGUGUGGGGAGCAAACGGG